rnacentral:rRNA from 1 species
GCGCACGGGUGAGUACACGUGAGUGACAUACCCGCAGUGGGGAUAGCCGCCGAAAGGCGGGAUUAUACCCCAUGGGUAUCGCAAGAUUCAAGGUGGCUUCGGCUGCCGCUGCGGGAUUGGCUCGCGUACUAUCAGUUAGUUGGUGAGGUAACGGGUCACCAAGGCGACGACGGGUAGCUGGUCUGAGAGGAUGAUCAGUCACACUGGAACUGAGACACGGUCCAGACACCUACGGGUGGCAGCAGUCGAGAAUAUUCACAAUGGACGAAAGUCUGAUGGUGCAACGCCGCCGUGGAGGAUGACGGUCUUCGGAUUGUCAACUCCUGUCAUCGGGGAGUAAGACCCUGGCUGUGAAUAGCAGACAGGGUUGAUAGUACCCGAAGAGGACGGGACGGCUAAACUUCGUGCCAGCAGCCGCGGUAAUACGAAGGUCCCGAACGUUGUUCGGAAUCACUGGGCGUAAAGGGAGCGUAGGCGGCAGGGUAAGUCAGAUGUGAAAUCCCGGGGCUCAAUCCCGGAACGGCAUCCGAUACUGCCCUGUUUGAGUAAUGGAGGGGUAGCUCGAAUUCUCGGUGUAGCAGUGAAAUGCGUGGAUAUCGA